UAACACUUGUCUGAGGGGCGAGCUUUGAGUACGAGGUGCUUAAUAACUCAUAAGGUAUUCAAACAUCAAUUUUUUUAAUCCAUGAACCUGAGACUCCGAGAGGGGAGUUUCAAAAGGUAACACAAUACUCUGUUACCCUCUACGCCCCUACAUAAUAUUUUUGUUUGUCUUUAUUGGCUGUCCCAAAACAAUCUUCCGGUUUCCCUUUGAAGCGAAAAAACAUAUAUUCAUCACAUCAACGCUUUUUCUCUCACAACUCCAACACUAUAUAUUCCAGUUUUUUCAUUUGACCACUGUUCUUCACCUCCAAUAAAUAAAAUAAAAAUAAAAGCAAACAGGAAGAUAUUAAGGGAUGGAGGCAGUAGUAAUUUUGCUCUGAAGUUGUUUUCUUGGUGCAAAUUGCUUUCAUAUAGUAAUAGCACCGAGAGUCAGAGACAGCAAAUCUUGAAGAUCAUAAACAAAUGAAACUUACAGUUGUGCAGUGAAUCAGCUUAAUAAUCCGAUUGCAUUUGUGUUCUUCAGGUACUGUCAUAGUGAUUGUAGAGUGUAGACACUAGACAAUACUGGAGCUCCAUUAUUCUUCUUGCAAUUGGGAUAGCUGCUGGAAUUCAUUUCAGGAAGCUUAAGAGAAUAAAGAAGAAACAAAGAGGAUCAAACAAUGCAGAAGAUUUAGUACAGAUCCUUCAUGAUAUUAGCUUGGAGUUCAAGUACUCAACACCUUGAGAAGGCCACUGAGUCUUUUGCAGAAGCAAAUAAGCUCGGGCAAGGAGGAUUUGGAACAGUGUACAAACCUACAUGGUUAUUCUAGCCCAACCAUAGUUCUUUAAACAAUCUCUCAAGGAAAACAUAAGGCAACAAAGAAACUCUUCUCAAAUGUCUGAAAGAAGCUGCCUCAUUUUGAUCAAAAUUCUUAACGCAGCUCUAUGUUUAUCUAAAUAUUUAAUCUAAAUGACUAAAGGUGUCUCUUCAAAGAGUCCUUGCUGAUGGAAGGGGAAUUGCUGUUACGAGAUUCUUCCUCAACAAUAAACAUGAAGUAGCAGACUUGUAUAAUGAAGAUAACAUAAUCAGCAGCCUGCAACAAAAUAAUUUGGUCAUAUUGUUGGGUUGCAGCUACUCAGGACCUGAACAUCUGCUUGUCUAUGAGUGUUUUCCCAACAAGAGUCCUGAUCACUUCGUCUUUUGUCAUCACUAUGAUCUUUUCAACUUACAUGAACUUAGACUUGUCUUUCUCUUUUA